CCUACGGGAGGCAGCAGUGGGGAAUUUUGGACAAUGGGCGCAAGCGUAUCCAGCCAUGCCGCGUGCAGGAUGAAGGCCUUCGGGUUGUAAACUGCUUAUGUACGGAACGAAAAGAUUUGUUUUAAUACGGGGGAUUCAUGCCGGUACCGUAAGAAUAAGCCCCGGCUAAUUACGUGCCAGCAGCCGCGGUAAUACGUAGGGUGCGAGCGUUAUUCGGAAUUACUGGGCGUAAAGCGUGCGCAGGCGGUUAUUUAAGCCAGAUGUGAAAUCCCCGGGCUCAACCUGGGAACUGCAUUAGUGACUGCAUAGCUGGAGUACGGCAGAGGGGGAUGGAAUUCCGCGUGUAGCAGUGAAAUGCGUAGAUAUGCGGAGGAACACCGAUGGCGAAGGCAAUCCCCUGGGCCUGUACUGACGCUCAUGCACGAAAGCGUGGGGAGCAAACAGGAUUAGAUACCCUGGUAGUCCACGCCUUAAACGAUGUCAACUGGUUGUUGGGUUUCCACUGACUCAGUAACGCAGCUAACGC
rnacentral:rRNA from 1 species